rnacentral:rRNA from 1 species
GACGAACCGUGCGAACGUUAUUCGGAAUCACUGGGCUUAAAGGGUGCGUAGGCGGGUUGCCAAGUCUGUGGUGAAAUCCUUCGGCUUAACCGGAGAACUGCCGUGGAUACUGGCGACCUCGAGUGGGGUAGGGGCUUGCGGAACUGUGCGUGGAGCGGUGAAAUGCGUUGAUAUGCACAGGAACUCCGGUGGCGAAGGCGGCGAGCUGGACCCUAACUGACGCUGAGGCACGAAAGCCAGGGGAGCGAACGGG